UGUCUGUGUUAUAAGGUCCCAUAAGAAAAAAAUUGAAAGUUCUCCGUCAAUGAUCUUUCCUCAGGGCAUGGUUACUACGAAAGUGCUGCCAUCUGCCCACACAAUCUCUAACUGAAUGGCUUACUGCAGAAACGAAGAAUUCACGUUUUAAUGGUGGAAAUGCAGAUUAAUGUAAAAUGACACGCAAACCAUGUUUCGUUUUUAAUUGUAAAUCUUCUUAUAACAAAGAAAAUGAAAGUCUUGCGUUUUUCCAUCCACCGAAGUUGUGUCUAAAUUCCUGGCAGGAAAUUAUUAAAAAGCCAGGACUCACUUGCCAGUCCCGAAUUUGCAGUAUUCAUUUUGAAGAGAACGACAUACUCAAAGGGAGAGAAAUUCAAGGCGUGUUUUACAGUUAUCCGAAAUGGAAAUUAAAAUCAGGUGCUCGGCCCAGUAAAUUGCUAGGAAAUGAUGUCAGCGUACUCGAAAGACCUGCUGCAAAGAAGUAUGUUCACAGUGAUAGGUUUAAGUCACCAUAUCGAAAUAUAACAGCAAAGUCUAAAGCUGCUAAUCCUAAGCUGCAGUUGGACAAUCAAUCAUUUUUGUCGAAUAACAACACCAAUGUAUUGAUCCCAUCACAUGCAAAGAAGUCAACGUCAAAUAGCAUAGCUAUACACCAACUUGACGCUGAAAAAGGAAAAGUAAAUGAUAUGGAAGCAGCUGAACCUGUGGCAUUACCAUGUGUAACAACAGAAGACAUGUUCCAGGAACCUACUACUGAAACACUCCUACACAUUCCACCUGAAAAAGAACUACAAUCUGAAUCUGAAUCUCAAUUGAGAGUAGAAUUUGAACCAAACGAUAUAGAAGCAGCUGAACCUGUGGCAUUACCAUGUGUAACAACAGAAGACAUGUUCCAGGAACCUACUUCUGAUACACUCCUACACAUUCCACCUGAAAAAGAACUACAAUCUGAAUCUGAAUCUCAAUUGAGAGUAGAAUUUGAACCAAACGAUAUAGAAGCAGCUGAACCUGUGGCAUUACCAUGUGUAACAACAGAAGACAUGUUCUAGGAACCUACUACUGAAACACUCCUACACAUUCCACCUGAAAAGAAAUGGCAUCUGAAUCUGAAUCUCAAUUGAGAGUAGAAUUUGAACCAAAUGAUAUGGAAGUGGAUGAACUGAUUGGAGCACCGGGUGAAAUGACAGAAGAAAUGUUACAAGAAAAUUCAGAACAAACAGCACGGGAGACAGAAAUGGAAGGAUACCUUGACCCAGCUACAUACACUGAUGUUAUUGCGAGAGUCAAACUACCUUCCUCUUCGUGGAUGUGGCAAGAAGAUAAGGUUAACAAAACCCUCGUGUGUUUCAGUCAUUCAUUUUCUCCACAUCGCAAAAUUGUAAUAAAAACAAUCUCAGUUGUCUCCAUGAAUAAGGUGGAAUUGUUCCUCAAUGGAAAACAAAUAUUUCCCCGUAAUGUUAAGACUAAUUUCAAUGUAAUUGAAGAUUUAUCUAACAUUAUUGGUGCCGUGGAAGUAAGCAAUGUGUGUGAUGGAAUUGUUGAACUAUCACUAGCGAAUGUUUGUGUGACGUCCCGAUGUAGCGCUGUGAAAGACGGAAAAAUCAUACGAUCUAACCGGUGCACAGGACUUACUGAAAACAAUGUUUGUUUGAAUUGCAAAUUCCUUAAGAAAUAUCUGAUGACUCGCAAGAAACAAUUAGGUUGUAAGGCUGAGAGGACAGGAAUUCAAAAGAAAAACCAACAGCAAAAGAGAAAUUUAGCAAUGAGAAGAAUUCUCCAACAAGGAAAAUUGGUCUCUGGAAUUGUGUCAAAUUUAGAAAAAGAAAAGCAGACUUUGACUAUUACAAACCAAAAAUUGAUUAAGGAACAGAAAAAGAAUAACUUUGACGAAAAACUAAAGUGCCUGAGUCCUACGGAACAGUUAAUCGUGAAAACUAUGAUGGACAAAGCUAAAGCAAAACCGGGAAAAGAUAACUGUAAGAAAGGAAUGCGUUACGACCCUUUAUUUUUGAUGCAUUGUCUUCAAAUUCGACUUAAAAGCAGCAAGACAUAUAGACAUUUGAAAGCAAAUGGAAUUUUACCACUUCCGAGUCUUGAAAGCAUAAGGAAGUUGUUUCAGACGAGGGGACAGUUAAUAUCUUGCCAAGAGUGUAAAGAAACAGUUGUUUGUGAGGAGGCUGAUUUGCCAGACGAUUUCACUGCAAAGCAGUACACAGCUUUUCGCAAUAGAGGAGGAUUAAUUUUUGUUACAAUCCCAGUCUUUCAAUCAAUACGGGAAGUGGAAAAGAUUAUUUCGUCUCAAUUUGAAGAUGACGGUCAUUAUUUAGUGAGAGAUAGUUACGAAAUUUGUAUGUCAAAAAUCAAAGUACUCAAUCUUUGUCCUUUUUUUUGUGACACACACCGUGCUGACUCGUAUCCUUAUUUAAUAAUGGAAUUCGUACAAGUUAGAUAUCAUUUUGAAUCAAAGCGUUUUCAAGAACUUAAUUUGGCAGAAGUUUAUAGUAACGUGCGACAAAAUUUCAAGAUGGCAAAACUUGCUUAAUUUUUUUUUUCUAAAUGUAAAUUGUAUGUAUGUUAAUACACAUUACAAGUUAUAAAUUGAA